CAGCCGCCGCGGUAACACGUAGGUGGCAAGCGUUGUCCGGAAUUAUUGGGCGUAAAGGGCUCGCAGGCGGUUUCUUAAGUCUGAUGUGAAAGCCACCGGCUCAACCCGGGAGGGUCAUUGGAAACUGGGAAACUUGAGUGCAGAAGAGGAGAGUGGAAUUCCACGUGUAGCGGUGAAAUGCGUAGAGAUGUGGAGGAACACCAGUGGCGAAGGCGACUCUCUGGUCUGUAACUGACGCUGAGGAGCGAAAGCGUGGGGAGCGAACAGGAUUAGAUACCCCCGUAGUCCCUGUCUCUUAUAC
rnacentral:rRNA from 1 species